rnacentral:misc_RNA from 1 species
CGCGCGCGCCCGCCCAGCGCUUUUUUAUUUAAAAAUAAAACUCAUUUUCGUCCAGCAUUCCAGUCUAUAGUCUUUGUACAGAUAACAAUUAAUUAGAAACGUAUUAUGAAUUUUGUUUUUAAACUGUGCUAAAAUUAUUUGUGAAAGGAUAAUGUUUAAAAAUAGUGUUUUACGGAGAUCCAGUGCAGACGUAAAGCUCGUUGUAUUUCGGUGACAUAUCGACGACCUCGAACAAGCGCUUUGGCGGUUUUCGCGUUAUUUUUUUAAAUUCGGCCAGUGUGUACGGACUGUGUUCUUUUUUUAAAUGUUAAUUGUUUCGUGUGUCAAACAGUAAAAUGUGUUGUUGAAUUAUUUUCGGAUUGCCCUAUUAUUUUAUAAACGGUGGUAAUGGCGGACCAAGCACAACCCACCACCCCAGAGGGUGACGACACCGGCCAGCCGGUGGUGGUACAACCAAAGAAACAGGCGCGAGCUAGGGGGAAACCGCAGCCUGAGAAACCCAAGAGGAGCCUCCUGUGUUUGGGCUUGAAGAACCCACUUAGAAAACUCUGCUAUGAUAUCGUGGAGUGGAAACCCUUCGAAUAUAUGAUUUUGACAACGAUAUUUGCAAAUUGCAUCGCGCUUGCUGUAUUCACGCCCUACCCUUCCGGAGAUACGAAUAAUACUAAUCAGAUUUUAGAAAAAGUGGAAUGGAUAUUCAUGGCAAUCUUCACCGGAGAAUGUGUGAUGAAAAUUAUAGCAUAUGGCUUCUUAUUUCAUCCUGGCGCAUACCUUAGGAAUGCAUGGAACAGUCUCGACUUUACCAUCGUCACUAUUGGAAUAGCGAGUCAGAUAUUGCAAUAUAUUUCAAAGGAUCUGUUCGAUGUGAAAGCUCUGAGGGCGUUCAGAGUGCUGCGGCCGUUACGUCUAGUAUCUGGAGUGCCAAGUCUCCAAAUAGUACUCAACUCGAUCCUGAAAGCGAUGGUGCCCUUGUUCCACAUAGCGUUCCUAGUGCUUUUCGUGAUCAUCAUCUACGCUAUCAUCGGUCUGGAACUCUUUGCUGGUGCUCUCCAUGAUACCUGUUUUGAUAAUCAGACAGGUAAAAUGGUAGACGAUCCCACCCCCUGCUCCCGUGACGCGGAAGUGGGGAACCAUUGCAACGAGGGGGAGGUUUGCAAGGGCUAUUGGGAGGGGAUCAACUUUGGUAUCACCAAUUUUGAUAAUAUCGGAUACUCCAUGUUGACCGUGUUCCAAUGCAUCACGCUAGAAGGAUGGACGGAUAUUAUGUAUGCUAUAGCAGACGUAAAAGGGAAUACCUGGGUCUGGAUAUAUUUCGUGACUCUGGUCAUUUUUGGAAACUUUUUCGUGAUGAACCUUAUUCUUGGUGUGUUGUCUGGAGAGUUCUCCAAAGAGAGAGAGAAAGCCAAGAACCGGGGUGACUUCCAGAAGUCACGUGAGCGGCAGCAGUUUGAAGAGGACCUGAAGGGCUACCUCAACUGGAUCACCGUCGCUGAGGAGCUCGACCUGGAGAACGACCAGGGGCAGAGGGAUCAAGACCAGGAUGACCAGGGAAAUAAGAAAGAAAGAAAAAAUAACGAGGGCUCUCAGAACAAUAUAAAUUCGAACGGCGACGCCCAGCAGACGACAUCUUGUAAAAUAUAUUGCAAGAGGUUUGAUAAAGUGAACCGGCGCAUGCGCAGGGCGUGCCGCAAGGCCGUCAAGUCGCAGACGUUCUACUGGGCGAUCAUUGUUCUUGUGUUUUUGAAUACACUCGUUUUGGCAACAGAACAUCAUAAUCAACCACAGUGGCUGGAUGAUGUUCAGAACUACGCAAACUACUUGUUUGUUGUGCUCUUCACGAUGGAGAUGCUGGUAAAGAUGUACGCUUUAGGCUUUCAGGGUUACUUCGUAUCCUUGUUCAACCGCUUCGACUGUUUCGUCAUGGUGUGCUCGAUCGUCGAACUGGCUCUCACGAUAUCGGGAACGAUUCCGCAACUCGGUAUAUCUGUGUUGCGUUGUGUUAGAUUGCUUCGGGUUUUUAAGGUUACUAAAUACUGGCGUUCCCUCUCCAAUCUGGUUGCUUCUCUUCUCAACUCCAUCCAGUCUAUCUUCUCCCUUCUCUUACUCUUGUUCCUGUUCAUCAUGAUCUUCGCUCUGUUGGGGAUGCAGGUGUUCGGCGGAAGAUUUGACUAUGAGCCUGAGGAACAGAAGGAGAGACACAACUUCGACUCUUUCUGGCAAGCGGUGUUGACUAUGUUUCAGAUUUUAACAGGCGAAGAUUGGAACGUGGUGAUGUACCACGGUAUCAACGCCUAUGGCGGUGUCGGCACGCCCGGCAUGUUGGCCUCUAUCUAUUUCAUCGUCAUCUUCAUUUGUGGUAACUACAUUCUAUUGAACGUGUUCUUGGCCAUUGCCGUCGACAAUUUGGGAGACGCUGAAGAUAUGGAUGAAGAAAUUGUGAAAGAGAAAGAUGGUGGAGAUAACCCUGAAGCCGGGAAUCCACAGCUGGAUGAAGAAAGAGGUGAAACUGAUGAUGAAUAUGCCAAUGAUGAAGAAGGAUACUCUAGUGACGGAUCGGAGAAUGAAUAUGAAGAGACAGGGUCGGAGGAAGAGGGUGAAUUAGAGCAAGAGGAACAGAAUGAUGGUGUUAAAGACGUUUUAGUCACUGCAGAGAAGAAGCAAAAUGGAGACAUAAAGAAGGAGGAACCUCAGCCCCCUCCCAAACGCCAACCCACCAUCACAGCUCGCCCCAGAAGACUGUCUGAAGUGGAAAUAAAGACCCAAGAGAAACCCAUUCCAGAAGCCACCAGCUUCUUUAUAUUUUCAAAGGAUAAUUGGUUCCGAGUUUCCUGCUACAAGGUACAGAACAACUCGUGGUUCCGGAAUCUAAUUCUGAUUUGCAUUCUGGCCUCGUCUCUCAUGUUGGCCAUGGAGGAUCCAGUCGAAGGGAAAUCCACGGAAGCAAAGCGAGAGAUCCUUCGCAAGAUCGACUAUUUCUUCACCACGGUGUUCACCAUCGAGCUGAUAUUGAAACUUAUCACCUAUGGUUUCAUCCUUCACAAGGAUGCCUUCUGUCGCUCCGCUUUUAACUUGUUGGACUUGUUGGUUGUUAUCGUUUCUCUUGUAUCUUUAACUGGCUCAAACAACGUAUCAUUCAUAAAGAUCUUGCGAGUGUUCAGAGUGCUGAGACCGCUCCGUGCGAUAAACCGGGCGAAAGGUUUGAAGCACGUAGUACAAUGCGUUAUCGUUGCUAUUAAAACGAUCGGCAACAUUUUGUUGGUGACAAACCUCCUUCAGUUCAUGUUCGCUGUAAUGGGAGUGCAAAUGUUCAAGGGAAAAUUCUAUAUGUGUUCAGAUAUAACCAAAGUGAAUUCUGAACAAUGCCAGGGAGCAUAUCUGGUAUACAAGAAUAACAAGCCAACCAUUGAAGAUCGUGUUUGGAUGAAAAAUAAGUUUAAUUUUGAUAAUGUACUCAAUGGAAUGCUCACUCUGUUCACUGUGUCCACAUUUGAGGGGUGGCCAGGCUUAUUAUCUACGUCAAUGGAUUCGAAUGAAGAGAAUCAUGGUCCUAUAGAAAAUUCUCGGCCACUCGUCGCGUUUUUCUAUAUAAGUUAUAUUAUUGUGAUAGCAUUUUUUAUGGUUAAUAUAUUCGUAGGUUUUGUCAUAGUUACAUUCCAAAAGGAAGGAGAGCAGGAGUUUAAAGAUUGUGAAUUAGAUAAAAAUCAGAGGAAUUGUAUAGAGUUUGCGUUGAAAGCGAAACCAAUUAGAAGGUAUAUACCAAAACAUAGAAUACAGUAUAAGACAUGGUGGUUUGUGACGUCACAAAGAUUUGAAUACGUAAUAUUUUUCUUUAUCGUCCUUAACACAGUGGCACUCAUGAUGAAAUAUCAUGACGCGAAACCCCUCUAUAAGAAAGCGUUAGAUUAUCUAAAUAUGGUUUUAACUACAGUAUUUAUGUUGGAGUUCGUCUUUAAAUUGGCAGCAUUUAGAUUUAAGAAUUACUUUGGCGACGCGUGGAAUACGACCGACUUUAUUCUAGUUGUGGGUAGUAUCAUAGACAUUGUGGUGACUCAGGUCAAUGAGAAUAAACUGCCGUCUCUUGCUCCUUUGGAAGUUAAAGAGCUGGACACAUCUAAUGAAAAUAAGGAGGGCACCCUCUUAAAAUACAUCAUUUUCUUCCGACUCUUUCGAGCAAUGCGACUGAUAAAGCUACUAUCGCGGGGCGAGCGAAUACGAACCUUAUUGUGGACGUUCAUAAAGUCCUUCCAAGCUCUGCCCUAUGUCGCCUUGUUGAUCGUCCUACUUUUCUUCAUUUACGCUGUGGUUGGGAUGCAGCUCUUCGGUAAAAUAGCACUGGAUGAUGACAUUAUUACAAGAAAUAACAAUUUCCAAACGUUCGGUGGCGCUCUGAUGGUGUUGUUUAGAUCAGCUACUGGAGAAGCAUGGCAGGACAUAAUGAUGGCUCUAUCACCAAAUGAAGACCAACAUCCUGGAGUACCAGUAGCUUGUUUCAGGCCUGAUGGCGAUAAUUCCACAAUAUCCGAUGAAGGAUGUGGAACACGUCUCUCGUUCCCUUACUUCAUAUCUUUCUCGCUGCUUUGUACGUUUUUAAUUAUCAACUUGUUCGUGGCUGUAAUUAUGGACAACUUCGAUUAUCUGACAAGGGAUUGGUCCAUCCUCGGGCCACAUCAUCUUGAUGAAUUUGUGAGAUUAUGGAGUGAGUAUGAUCCAGAUGCCAAAGGACGUAUCAAGCAUUUGGACGUGGUAACGUUGUUGAGGAAAAUAAGUCCUCCAUUAGGCUUCGGCAAACUGUGUCCGCACCGGACCGCAUGCAAGCGCCUCGUCUCAAUGAACAUGCCCCUCAACUCUGACGGUACUGUCAACUUUAACGCCACUCUGUUUGCCGUUGUGCGAACGCAAUUGCAAAUUAAAACUACUGGUAUAAUAGACGAAUGCAACACAGAACUGCGAGCUAUCAUCAAAAAGGUUUGGAAGAGAACAUCUCCCAAGCUGCUGGACCAAGUGGUCCCGCCUCCGGGAGACCCCAAUGAGAUCACUGUCGGCAAGUUCUAUGCCACCUUCCUGAUACAAGAUUACUUUAGACGGAACCAUGCAUUCAGGAAACGCAAAGAGCUGGCCGCAGCCCAGAACAAUCAGAUGACAUUACAGGCUGGUUUACGCACACUGCAUGAGGCGGGUCCGGAAUUGAAGAGAGCUAUAUCUGGUAACCUGGAUGAGGUUGUUGGGGAAACUGUGGAACCUAUGCAUAGGCGCAAUCACACACUAUUUGGAGCGGUUUGGACAAGUAUUAAGAAAGGCCGCGGUAGUUUUUACGCACCUCGUAAAGUGCCAAAAACUAUGGUUAAAUCUAAAUCGGCCAAUGGUGAUAAAGGCAUGACUCUAAGUAUGAUGAUGCAGAGAGAACUUGGCAUGGACGGCAAGAUACCAGAAGAGGAGAAUAAAUAUGAUGAGAAUCACAGCGAUGGUGAUGAAGAAAUCGCGAUGCAGCCGCUGCUUCACGGAAAGGACUCGGAGAGGAUCUUCAGAGUUAUCGAAUCGUGACAAUAUGCCCAGACAGACAAACAACGUGCCUUAUUGUGUAGACAAGCCAGCGGAGAAUCUCAUUGCUCGGGUGUUAACCGAGCAGGGCCUAGGCAAGUACUGUGACGCGGACUUUCUGCAGAGCACCUCCCGCGAG